GACGAACGCUGGCGGCGUUCCUAAUACAUGCAAGUAGAACUCAGUUUCGAACGGGUGAGUAACGCGUAGGUAACUGCCUCAUAGCUGGGGUUAACUAUUGGACACGCUAUCUCAUCCCGCUUCCUGUGAGAUGGACCUGCGUUGUAUUAGCUCGUUGGUGAGGUAAAGGCUCACCAAGGCGACGAUACAUAGCCGGCCUGAGAGGGUGAUCGGCCACACUGGGACUGAGACACGGCCCAGACUCCUGCGGGAGGCAGCAGUAGGGAAUCUUCGGCAAGGGACGGAAGUAUGAGCGAGCAACGCCGCGUGAGUGAAGAAGGUUUUCGGAUCGUAAAGCUCUGUUGUUAGAGAAGAGGUAAAUAACCAGAAAGGGACGGCUAACUACGUGACAGCAGCCGCGGUAAUUC
rnacentral:rRNA from 1 species